CAGAGUUCUCGCCCUCGCGGGUAGAUCUCCCACCCACUGUUAUUGCUACCGUGUUGCUUUGGCGGGCUGCUGGGCCUAGCCCGGCCGCCGGCUCCGGCUGGCGCGCCCGCCAGAGGACCCCUAAACUCUGAAUAUUUUUGUCGUCUGAGUACUAUAUAAUAGUUA
rnacentral:misc_RNA from 1 species